rnacentral:sRNA from 1 species
AUGAAAGACGAAGAACU